UACAUGCAAGUCGAGCGGAACCAGAAGAGCUUGCUCUUUUGGUUUAGCGGCGGACGGGUGAGUAACACGUGGGCAACCUGCCCUGCAGAUCGGGAUAACUCCGGGAAACCGGUGCUAAUACCGAAUAGUUUACCGUUCCUCCUGGAACGGUACGGAAAGACGGUUUCGGCUGUCACUGCAGGAUGGGCCCGCGGCGCAUUAGCUAGUUGGUGGGGUAAUGGCCCACCAAGGCGACGAUGCGUAGCCGACCUGAGAGGGUGAUCGGCCACACUGGGACUGAGACACGGCCCAGACUCCUACGGGAGGCAGCAGUAGGGAAUCUUCCGCAAUGGACGCAAGUCUGACGGAGCAACGCCGCGUGAGUGACGAAGGUUUUCGGAUCGUAAAACUCUGUUGUGAGGGAAGAACAAGUACCAAUUAACUACUGGUACCGUGACGGUACCUCACC
rnacentral:rRNA from 1 species